AUUGAACGCUGGCGGCAGGCCUAACACAUGCAAGUCGAGCGGAGCGGCGGACGGGUGAGGAAUGCCUAGGAAUCUGCCUGGUAGUGGUGGAUAACGUCCGAAAACGGGCGCUAAUACUGAAUACUAUCGGAUCAGGCUAGGUCGGAUUAGGUAGUUGGUGGGGUAAAGGCAUAACAAGGCGUCGAUCCGUAACUGGUCUGAGAGUAUGAUCAGUCACACUGGAACUGAGACACGGUACAGACUCCUACGGGAUGCAGCAGUGGGGAAUAUUGGACAAUGGGCGAAAGCCUGAUGCAGCCAUGCCGCGUGGGUGAAGAAGGUCUUCGGAUUGUAAAGCACUUGAAGUUGGGAGGCGUUACCAACAGAAUAAGCACCGGCUAACUUCGUGCCAGCAGCCGCGGUAAUAC
rnacentral:rRNA from 1 species